rnacentral:rRNA from 1 species
ACAGACGAGGAGCUUGCUCCUCUGAGCGUUAGCGGCGGACGGGUGAGUAACACGUGGAUAACCUACCUAUAAGACUGGGAUAACUUCGGGAAACCGGAGCUAAUACCGGAUAAUAUAUUGAACCGCAUGGUUCAAUAGUGAAAGACGGUUUUGCUGUCACUUAUAGAUGGAUCCGCGCCGCAUUAGCUAGUUGGUAAGGUAACGGCUUACCAAGGCAACGAUGCGUAGCCGACCUGAGAGGGUGAUCGGCCACACUGGAACUGAGACACGGUCCAGACUCCUACGGGAGGCAGCAGUAGGGAAUCUUCCGCAAUGGGCGAAAGCCUGACGGAGCAACGCCGCGUGAGUGAUGAAGGUCUUCGGAUCGUAAAACUCUGUUAUUAGGGAAGAACAAAUGUGUAAGUAACUAUGCACGUCUUGACGGUACCUAAUCAGAAAGCCACGGCUAACUACGUGCCAGCAGCCGCGGUAAUACGUAGGUGGCAAGCGUUAUCCGGAAUUAUUGGGCGUAAAGCGCGCGUAGGCGGUUUUUUAAGUCUGAUGUGAAAGCCCACGGCUCAACCGUGGAGGGUCAUUGGAAACUGGAAAACUUGAGUGCAGAAGAGGAAAGUGGAAUUCCAUGUGUAGCGGUGAAAUGCGCAGAGAUAUGGAGGAACACCAGUGGCGAAGGCGACUUUCUGGUCUGUAAC